AGCCAAGCAACGGUGGAAAAAUGGAGAAGGAAGAAAUUGAAAUUCCAGAUGUAUCACUACGUUCGGCAAGCAACAGAGGAAAAGUAGAGAAUGAAGAAGUUGAAAUUCCAGAUGUAUCAAUAAGUUCGCCAAGCAACAAAAGAAAAUUGGAGAAUGAAGAUAUUGAAAUUCCAGAUGUAUCAAUACCGUUGGUAAGUUUGCU